rnacentral:rRNA from 1 species
CAGCCGCGGUAAUUCCAGCUCCAAUAGCGUAUAUUAAAGUUGUUGCAGUUAAAAAGCUCGUAGUUGAAUUUCGGGGUCAGUAGGUUGGUCGUGCCACCGGUACGUACUGGUCUCACUGAUUCCUCCUUCCUGAAGAACCGUAAUGCCAUUAAUUUGGUGUUGCGGGGAAACAGGACUGUUACUUUGAAAAAAUUAGAGUGUUUAAAGCAAGCUAACGCUUGAAUACAUUAGCAUGGAAUAAUGAAAUAGGACGAUCGAUCCUAUUUUUGUUGGUUUCUAGGAUUGACGUAAUGAUUAAUAGGGAUAGUUGGGGGCAUUAGUAUUCAAUUGUCAGAGGUGAAAUUCUUGGAUUUAUUGAAGACUAACUACUGCGAAAGCAUUUUGCCAAGGAUGUUUCAUUAAUCAAGAACGAAAGUUAGGGAUCGAAGACGAUCAGAUACCGUCGUAGUCUUAACCAUAAACUAUGCCGACUAGGGAUCGGAUGAUGUUAAUUUUAUAAUGACUCAUUCGGCGCCUUACGGGAAAC